rnacentral:rRNA from 1 species
AAGAAGUAGUGCCCGUACCGCAAACCGACACAGGUAGAUGAGGAGAGAAUCCUAAGGCCGGCGGAAGAAUUGCAGUUAAGGAACUAGGCAAAUUGACCCCGUAAGUUCGCGAGAAGGGGUGCCUGCGAGAGCAGGCCGCAGAGAAUAGGCCCAAGCAACUGUUUAGCAAAAACACAGGCCUCUGCUAAAGCGUAAGCUGAUGUAUAGGGGCUGACGCCUGCCCGGUGCUGGAAGGUUAAGGGGAACACUUAGCGCAAGCGAAGGUGUGAACUUAAGCCCCAGUAAACGGCGGCCGUAACUAUAACGGUCCUAAGGUAGCGAAAUUCCUUGUCAGGUAAGUUCUGACCCGCACGAAUGGCGUAAUGACUUGGGCACUGUCUCAACCGCAAAUCCGGCGAAGUUGUAGUGCGAGUGAAGAUGCUCGCUAUCCGCGAUUGGACGGAAAGACCCCGUAGAGCUUUACUGUAGCUUAGCAUUGAAUUCCGGUAUUGUCUGUACAGGAUAGGUGGGAGACUGGGAAACUAGGGCGUCAGCCUUAGUGGAGUCAACCUUGGGAUACCACCCUGACAGUACUGGGGUUCUAACAGGACGCCAUGAAUCUGGUGACUGGACAUUGUUAGGUGGGCAGUUUGACUGGGGCGGUCGCCUCCUAAAAAGUAACGGAGGCGCCCAAAGGUUCCCUCAGAACGGUCGGAAAUCGUUCGUAGAGUGCAAAGGCAGAAGGGAGCCUGACUGCGAGACAUACAAGUCGAGCAGGGACGAAAGUCGGGCUUAGUGAUCCGGUGGUACCUCGUGGGAGGGCCAUCGCUCAACGGAUAAAAGCUACCUCGGGGAUAACAGGCUGAUCUCCCCCAAGAGUCCACAUCGACGGGGAGGUUUGGCACCUCGAUGUCGGCUCGUCGCAUCCUGGGGCUGUAGUAGGUCCCAAGGGUUGGGCUGUUCGCCCAUUAAAGCGGCACGCGAGCUGGGUUCAGAACGUCGUGAGACAGUUCGGUCCCUAUCCGUCGCGGGCGUAGGAAAUUUGAGAGGAGCUGUCCUUAGUACGAGAGGACCGGGAUGGACUGACCUCUGGUGUACCAGUUGUUCCGCCAGGAGCAUGGCUGGGUAGCUAAGUCGGGAAGGGAUAAACGCUGAAAGCAUCUAAGCGUGAAGCCUCCCUCAAGAUGAGAUUUCCCAUAGCAUAAGCUAGUAAGACCCCUUGAAGAACACAAGGUUGAUAGGUCAGAGGUGUAAGUGCGGUAACGUAUUUAGCUGACUGAUACUAAUAGGUCGAGGGCUUGACCAG